GCGCAACAUGGCGGAAAACAUGAAUUGCUUCAGUCUGGAGAAGAUUACUUACUUUGCAGUACUUUGGCACCAGUUACCGAAGUAGAGAUUGUUAGCAAAGAUGUACCCUCUGUGGCCUUUGAAGCCAACGUUCUUUCUUGUGAGCAAACCUUGGUGAAUGGCUUGUCUAUGAUAAUUGCUUGGAUGCUUGGUCUGUGGAAAACCCUUGGACCUGGCCUGUGGACAAAUCUUGGAGUGAGGCCUAUGGGUAAGCCUUCAGUUGGUAACUGGCCCGUAGACAAGCCUUGGUGGGUGGGCUGUGGACAAGUCUCAGAAGGUGGCCUUCGAAAAACUCUUUGUACACAGUCUAUGGACAAGCCUUGAUGGGUGACCUGUGGACAAGCCUCGGUAUGUGACUUAUGGAACAGUCUAAUGGUAGGUGCUCUGUGGACAAGCCUGAGAAGGUGAAUUGUGGACAAACCUUUGACAAGUCAUUCUGGACAAAGGAGAAUUGUAGAUCUGGGAUAAGAGUAGUCACUGGAUGAGGCUGGAAAGAAAGUACAUGACUUGACGGUUGAAACUACAAACAAAAUACAGCAGAUAAAGUUGGUUUUGAAACCUGUUGAGAGAGUGAACGCAUGAAAAAAAAUACCCCGCGAGGUCAAGGAUGGACUGCAAACCGAUCUGAAUUGCAAUUUUUUCUUGUUAUUAUUCAUGAUUUUCUCUCACCUGCUCAUGCUUCUGAGAUGUUACUCGAGUGUGGAAAGUUCUGUGGCCGUUUAGGUUUCCUAACUUGGUUUACAAGCUUCAGGAUUAAAGAAAAGCUUCGUCGAUGAAGACACAAAGGCUUCUGCAAUAGCCACGCGAGGACUUUCCAAAGUCUAAAAGAGGAAAAGAAACAUGGAAUAUGGAAAUCAAAGAGAGCUUCUGAAAUCGGGGAUAUACAGGUUUGGAUAUAUCAACAAAGUUGAAGUGGU